UUUCCGUAGGUGAACCUGCGGAAGGAUCAUUAUUGUAUAACCGAGCUCCUCAGCCUUUCGCUGACCCGAAAGGUCGUGCUCCCCCGAGUGCCCUCACCCACAUCCAUCUCACCCCCAUCUGCACCACCGCCUGUAUCCCCCUUUGUCUUGUUCGUCUGUGAGCUAACGUUUUCACACAAACUUUGUAUCCAGCGUAGAAUGUUUUUUUUUUUUUUCCGUUCAGUCAACCAAUACAACUUUCAACAACCGUUCUCUUUGCUCUCGCAUCGAUUAAUAACC
rnacentral:misc_RNA from 1 species